rnacentral:rRNA from 1 species
GAUAUGAUCACCGGCCGCAUGGUCUGGUGGUGGAAAGAUUUUUUGGUUGGGGAUGGACUCGCGGCCUAUCAGCUUGUUGGUGAGGUAAUGGCUCACCAAGGCGACGACGGGUAGCCGGCCUGAGAGGGUGACCGGCCACACUGGGACUGAGACACGGCCCAGACUCCUACGGGAGGCAGCAGUGGGGAAUAUUGCACAAUGGGCGGAAGCCUGAUGCAGCAACGCCGCGUGAGGGAUGACGGCCUUCGGGUUGUAAACCUCUUUUAGUAGGGAAGAAGCGAAAGUGACGGUACCUGCAGAAAAAGCACCGGCUAACUACGUGCCAGCAGCCGCGGUAAUACGUAGGGUGCAAGCGUUGUCCGGAAUUAUUGGGCGUAAAGAGCUCGUAGGCGGUUUGUCGCGUCUGCUGUGAAAUCCCGAGGCUCAACCUCGGGCUUGCAGUGGGUACGGGCAGACUAGAGUGCGGUAGGGGAGAUUGGAAUUCCUGGUGUAGCGGUGGAAUGCGCAGAUAUCAGGAGGAACACCGAUGGCGAAGGCAGAUCUCUGGGCCGUAACUGACGCUGAGGAGCGAAAGCAUGGGGAGCGAACAGGAUUAGAUACCCUGGUAGUCCAUGCCGUAAACGUUGGGCGCUAGAUGUAGGGACCUUUCCACGGUUUCUGUGUCGUAGCUAACGCAUUAAGCGCCCCGCCUGGGGAGUACGGCCGCAAGGCUAAAACUCAAAGGAAUUGACGGGGGCCCGCACAAGCGGCGGAGCAUGCGGAUUAAUUCGAUGCAACGCGAAGAACCUUACCAAGGCUUGACAUACACCGGGAAACGGCCAGAGAUGGUCGCCCCCCUUGUGGUCGGUGU